rnacentral:rRNA from 1 species
UACGUAGGUGGCAAGCGUUGUCCGGAUUUACUGGGCGUAAAGAGCGCGCAGGCGGUCGUUCAAGUCGCGUGUGAAAGCCCCCGGCUCAACUGGGGAGGGUCACGCGAUACUGAUCGACUCGAAGGCAGGAGAGGGAAGUGGAAUUCCCGGUGUAGUGGUGAAAUGCGUAGAUAUCGGGAGGAACACCAGUGGCGAAGGCGACUUCCUGGCCUGUUCUUGACGCUGAGGCGCGAAAGCUAGGG